AGGACGAGAAAGGACCAAGGUGGGAGCUUAGUGAAAAUGUAGGUCCUGUAUUCAAAGUUCCAAAGAAUUUCAAGAGAGUGACAGCAGAGCAUUCAACAAAAUGCAGGGUCUUCUGAGGGGCAAGUAUGAGGGCAAAGAGAAGGAACCAGGUGGACUUUAGAUAACAAUAAUAAAUAGCAACCUGCUGGAGGUGCCCGAGGAGCAGCAGUUACCAUACUGUAGGUUUUCUUCUGCUGGUUCUUGAGAGAUACCAAUUAAUCACAACUUUCUGAAGCAAGACACAGAAGUUCAAAAUGAGAAGACAAUUCAGAGGUACCGGUAGCUAAGAGUGCUUGUAUAUAGAAGAUGAUGACAGGCUCUGUCUGAUCUGUGAAGAAAUCAGUCCAGCUCUGAUGACAACUGUAUCCUGCCUCAGCAUCUCUUCUCUGCUGAAAGGCUGUGCCAAGUGAGGACCCUCCUUGAGCCUCAGCUUGCCUUCAUUCUCUCUCAAAUGGCAACCCCAGAGUCUUCAUACAGAUGGGGCUUGUGAGCAUGAAAUGAGAAUGUGUUAAACUGCACCAUUGAAUUAUGUUAUCUACCUGUGAACAAAUGUGAAUGUA
rnacentral:lncRNA from 1 species